AGGAUGAACGCUGGCGGUCUGCUUAACACAUGCAAGUCGAACGGAGUACCUCGGUACUUAGUGGCGGACGGGUGAGUAACGCGUGAGAAUCUGCCCUUAGGUCGGGGACAACCAUUGGAAACGAUGGCUAAUACCGGAUAAGCCGAGAGGUAAAAGAUUAAUUGCCUAGGGAAGAGCUCGCGUCUGAUUAGCUAGUUGGUGAGGUAAAGGCUCACCAAGGCAUCGAUCAGUAGCUGGUCUGAGAGGAUGAUCAGCCACACUGGGACUGAGACACGGCCCAGACUCCUACGGGAGGCAGCAGUGGGGAAUUUCCGCAAUGGGCGAAAGCCUGACGGAGCAAGACCGCGUGAGGGAGGAAGGCUCGUUGGGUUGUAAACCUCUUUUCUUGGGAAGAACAAAUGACGGUACCCAAGGAAUCAGCAUCGGCUAACUCCGUGCCAGCAGCCGC
rnacentral:rRNA from 1 species